UGGGGAAUAUUGGACAAUGGGGGAAACCCUGAUCCAGCAAUGCCGCGUGAGUGAAGAAGGCCUUAGGGUUGUAAAGCUCUUUCGCCCGCGAAGAUAAUGACGGUAGCGGGAGAAGAAGCCCCGGCUAACUCCGUGCCAGCAGCCGCGGUAAUACGGAGGGGGCUAGCGUUGUUCGGAAUUACUGGGCGUAAAGCGUACGUAGGCGGAUGCGCAAGUUGGGGGUGAAAUCCCGGGGCUUAACCUCGGAAUUGCCCUCAAAACUGCACGUCUUGAGACCGAGAGAGGUAAGGGGAAUUCCUAGUGUAGAGGUGAAAUUCGUAGAUAUUAGGAAGAACACCAGUGGCGAAGGCGCCUUACUGGCUCGGUACUGACGCUGAGGUACGAAAGCGUAGGGAGCAAACA
rnacentral:rRNA from 1 species